GACGAACGCUGGCGGCGUGCUUAACACAUGCAAGUCGAACGGAAAGGCCCUGCUUUUGUGGGGUGCUCGAGUGGCGAACGGGUGAGUAACACGUGAGUAACCUGCCCUUGACUUUGGGAUAACUUCAGGAAACUGGGGCUAAUACCGGAUAGGAGCUCCUGCUGCAUGGUGGGGGUUGGAAAGUUUCGGCGGUUGGGGAUGGACUCGCGGCUUAUCAGCUUGUUGGUGGGGUAGUGGCUUACCAAGGCUUUGACGGGUAGCCGGCCUGAGAGGGUGACCGGCCACAUUGGGACUGAGAUACGGCCCAGACUCCUACGGGGGGCAGCAGUGGGGAAUCUUGCACAAUGGGCGGAAGCCUGAUGCAGCAACGCCGCGUGCGGGAUGACGGCCUUCGGGUUGUAAACCGCUUUCGCCUGUGACGAAGCGUGAGUGACGGUAAUGGGUAAAGAAGCACCGGCUAACUACGU
rnacentral:rRNA from 1 species